AAAUUGAAGAGUUUGAUCAUGGCUCAGAUUGAACGCUGGCGGCAGGCCUAACACAUGCAAGUCGAGCGGUAGCACAGAGAGCUUGCUCUCGGGUGACGAGCGGCGGACGGGUGAGUAAUGUCUGGGAAACUGCCUGAUGGAGGGGGAUAACUACUGGAAACGGUAGCUAAUACCGCAUAAUGUCGCAAGACCAAAGUGGGGGACCUUCGGGCCUCAUGCCAUCAGAUGUGCCCAGAUGGGAUUAGCUAGUAGGUGGGGUAACGGCUCACCUAGGCGACGAUCGCUAGCUGGUCUGAGAGGAUGACCAGCCACACUGGAACUGAGACACGGUCCAGACUCCUACGGGAGGCAGCAGUGGGGAAUAUUGCACAAUGGGCGCAAGCCUGAUGCAGCCAUGCCGCGUGUGUGAAGAAGGCCUUCGGGUUGUAAAGCACUUUCAGCGGGGAGGAAGGCGAUAAGGUUAAUAACCUU
rnacentral:rRNA from 1 species